UGGGGAAUAUUGCACAAUGGGCGAAAGCCUGAUGCAGCAACGCCGCGUGAGUGAUGAAGGCCUUCGGGUUGUAAAGCUCUGUCUUUUGGGACGAUAAUGACGGUACCAAAGGAGGAAGCCACGGCUAACUACGUGCCAGCAGCCGCGGUAAUACGUAGGUGGCAAGCGUUGUCCGGAUUUACUGGGCGUAAAGGAUGCGUAGGCGGAUUUUUAAGUGAGAUGUGAAAUACCCGGGCUUAACUUGGUGCUGCAUUUCAAACUGGGAAUCUAGGUGCGGGAGAGGAAAUGGAAUUCCUAGUGUAGCGGUGAAAAUGCGUAGAGAUUAGGAAGAACACCAGUGGCGAAGGCGAUUCUCUGGACCGUAACUGACGCUGAGGCAUGAAAAGCGUGGGUAGCAAAACAGGAUUAGAUACCCUGGUAGUCCACGCCGUAAACGAUGAGUACUAGGUGUAGGAGGUAUCGACCCCUUCUGUGCCGCAGUUAACACAAUAAGUACUCCGCCUGGGAAGUACGAUCGCAAGAUUAAAAACUC
rnacentral:rRNA from 1 species